rnacentral:lncRNA from 1 species
UCAUAGGAUAGAUUUCGAAAUAAUAAUCUAUUAGAGCGUGCUAGUUCUUCUACCUAAACCCAUAAUUCAUCUUCUCUAUAUUUUGCGAAUCUUGAUUCUCCCUAAGCCGCCCUUUGGGUUUUUAACUCAGCGGAUUUUUUUUUCUUUUCUACUCUAACUCCUGCCUAAGUUGCCCUUUUGGGUCUCCAACUCAUUGAGCU